GUACUUACUUGGCAGAGGAGCUAUUUCCCAUGAUCAUGUAGGUAUGGUUCCUAGAAUAAAAUGCAUCCAUUACACUAUGGUUAUGCUGAUUCCUGUGAUUUACCCCAAUGCAGGCAACUCAACUGUAUAAUUUGUGGUGAUGGGGGAGUGCGUUCACGCUUUUCUCUG
rnacentral:snRNA from 1 species